UACGUAGGGUGCGAGCGUUGUCCGGAUUUAUUGGGCGUAAAGAGCUCGUAGGCGGUUUGUCGCGUCGGCCGUGAAAUCUCCACGCUUAACGUGGAGCGUGCGGUCGAUACGGGCAGACUUGAGUUCGGUAGGGGAGACUGGAAUUCCUGGUGUAGCGGUGAAAUGCGCAGAUAUCGGGAAGAACACCCGUGGCGAAGGCGGCACUCUGGGACGGUACUGACGCUGAGGCACGAAAGCGUGGGGAGCAAACAGG
rnacentral:rRNA from 1 species